CAAUCGUGUCUCUCGCUACUGGAAACCCUAAGCCCCAAUCCAAACCCCACUCUCUCCCUCUCUCUUUGCCGCAAACGACACUUCUCCGGGGCGGCGCUGAGAAGGUCUCCGAGAAGGGCGAAAACCUCAAAAAUACGUUUGUGUGGUUUGAAAGAAGGAGUGAGUGGCAGCUCUCAAUUUUGCCAAUAACCAAGUCAUGCAUAAAUUUGGUUACAUGCGCCCGGAUCUAUUGGAUAAUGUCAUUUCCCCUCUUCGUUUUGAUUAUCCCCAUUCACGUUCGCUUUGUGAUUGAUUCAUGACCUCAUCCCCAGCUAAAAUCUUUUUAAAUCUUCACCAAUGUCCACUUAAAUUCCGUAUGCCAUUACAAUGUAUAAUAUUUUAUUCGAGUUUAAGGUAUCUUUUCUCUUGCUGCCUUUGCUUUUGGUUUACUAUAUAGUACUCAAGGGGUUUGGAGUUUUAUUUAAUGGAAUGGAAUGGAAUGAAGGGAUAAUUUCAUUCUACUUGAAUUCCUAAAUGGCUGCUUUUGUCUCUUAUUCUUCGCUAAUUUUGUCUCCCUGCCUUGUUAUUUUUACUAAACAAUUAUUCUUUUUGAUCUCUUGUUGAAUGCCUUGAAAAUCACAACAUGUUUUCUGUAAUUACAGUCUAUCAGGUUCAAAAUGAACCCAUAAAAUUUGGAGCAUGCUCAAAUAUCCUCUCAUCAUUUGAUUGUUGAUGAUUCUAAAAUCAUAGAAGUUUAGGUCAGUUAAAGUGACUCAUUCUUAAAGUUGCAUUUCUACUCACUGCACUAGAGCCAUCUGAUUGCUUUCUGUUCUCUCCUACAAGUGGUGGUCUUAGUGGUAAGAAGGAAUCAGGACAACUUCAUUUUGAGGGGAAAGAAAAACCAUUUCGUGCACCCCUGUAAAUUUCAGUCCUCUUAUAUCUAAGUACUGUAUUUUUCAUUAUUUAUGAUAUAUCUAAUAGCUUACUUUCCAAAAAUGUGUGAUAAUCUUUAUUGUGUUAAAUCAAAAAAGAAUAUUGAACCAUUAUGUCAAGUGAUUGACUAUUAGAGUCAAAUCAUAUUAACCUCCCUUAAGAUUUGCCUAAAUUGCUCUUAUUGCUUUUUGUGUCUUUUACUUGUAUGGAGGGAUGUACAAAGGGGGAAUAAACUUAUAUUGUGGUUUAUGUUUUAUUUUGUUCUUGAACUAGUUGGUCUAAAAUGAAUAAGUUGAUAGUGACUUGAAUAUAAAACAGAAGAUGGAUAAGAGGGAGAGUAGGAUUGAAAUGUGUGCAUCCAUAAUGGAAUUGAUUAUGACUGCAUGUGUGUUGAAGUAUAUAUACCUCCCUAAAAUGAUUUAUUGCCUCUAUGUGGUGAACUUUGUGAUAAAACGGCUGUUUAUGCUACCCAUCAACUGGAAUUCUUAGAAGUUGCAGACCUCAUUUUUGUAAGCUAUUGUAUUGAACACUAAUCUUUAGCUGAUGAAAUUGCUUUACAAGUGUUUUGGCCCUUCACUAUUAAAAUACUUUUUGGCUGGUAACGAAAGAUGAAAAAAUAGUUGAGUCAGGAAGCUUAUAAAGGAGCACUUGUUCUGAUUAUUCUUCUAUGCCAAAUUCUCUUUCAAGUUAUGCAGAUGGGAAGCAAUUAUUGGAUUUCAUGGGCUACAAAGCAGAAAGGCAGGGUCAACAACAAACAACUUAUGGGAACAUUUGCUCUUCUAUCUUUUGGUGGCACCAUCUUCAUACUUGGAAGGAUUGUUUUAAUGGCAGCUAAUGCUAUGGAAACUGCUCAACACCUUUUUCUUGGAAUGAUCACAUCAUUUUUCAGGGCACCUGUUUCAUAUUUUGACACCACACCUUCAAGCUGAAUUAUGAGUAGGUCGUCAACGGAUCAAAGUACUCCAGACACAUACAUACCAUACAGAUUAGAGGGACUAGUGUUUGCACUUAUCCAGUUAUUGAGUAUCAUUGUGCUAAUGUCCCAAGUUGCAUGGCAAGUCAUUCUCCUCUUUUUCGUUGUGCUUGCAAUUUCCAUUUGGUAUUAGGUAAGAACUGUAUCAAGCUUUGACAAUGUACACAAACUAAAUCAUAUCAUUUUCCUGUCAAAGUCUUAUUAGCAUGAACUAAAAAGAUAAUAGCAUUAGCUCGUGUAACUUGUCAUAUCAAUUUCCUCUUCAAUUUGGUCUUCUAUUUUGUACUUGCCAUCUUGGCUACUCUUCCAAGGUCUACCAUUUAUCCAAGUAAGCUCCUUCUUCCCUUAUUCGUCUUAUCAGUAGUGGUAGCAAUUACAUGUAUGCAUGUGAGAAUCACUUUUUUACUGCAUUAUUUUAAAAAGCUCUAAAGAAGGACACUUACACAUUAUUGAUUAAGCUUGGGUUACAACUUUAAAACCAAAAAAGAAAACUAAUUUUGCAGAAAAGUAGCUUGGUUGUAUUAGAUCCUUCUAGUUGCAACUAUGAUGCCAUGAUACUUACGUACUAGUGGUACUUUAAGAUUGAUGCAUGUGGCAGUACUCGGUAAUUCACAUAUGCUUCACUUUCCUCUCUCACCAGUCUCCGUAAUUCCCCCUAACAAGGUCCACUAACAAGUAUAUGGAAAUGCUAAGUUGCUUCUUCUGAUUUUCAGGCUUGGCGGGUAUGGUAGCUACUUAUGGUUUGAACUUGAAUGUCCUUCAGGCUUGAAGGCUGUUGAUAAUGAUCGGGUUUUGGUCCUUGAUGAAGGACUUGCUAUGCUGUGCUGCAAUUCAAUUUCUUUGCAAACACAAUUGAGGGUCAACAAAGUCAUCAGAAUUUAAAUUGCAAAAAGCACACGCUGCAAUUGCAUGCGAGCAAGGUAGUCGAAGUGCUUGAAAUUGUCCACAAUCACACGACCAUUCAUUCAAUUUGACAGUGCAUGCCAUUGCUCGUCGACCAAGUUGCGUAUUUGCAAUUUCUUGAAUCUCAAACUCCCCUAUUUUUCGAACAUACAUGCGAACAUAAUGCGAGGUAGCAAUGUGUUGAUUUUUUUGCAUCAUGACAUAUAUGUCUUCGGAGUACCUAUGCUCUGCCUUUAUCAUAUUCAUGAUUUUGAUGCCUUUAGUAAGAAAUGAAUCAUUUAUUUUAUUAAAUGUUUCAUUGACUAAGACAGUAAUAGGUAAUGCUCGGGCUCCUUUCAAAACAGAAUUCAUACAUUCAGCAAGGUUGGUAGUCAUAUGGCCAUAUUGUUUUCCUUCAUUGUAGGCCUGAGUCCAUUUACUCUUAGGAAUUUGAUCCAACCAAUCUGCUGCUUGUGGAAACUCUGCUCGCAUAGCGAGCAACUUAGCCUCAAAUCGUGGUUUCCUCAUCUCAUACCCUGUGCGAAAAGAUAGAACAAUGAGUAAUAAAUUUAGUGAACAUAUAAUAAAGCAAGAAUAUGAUGCAUGAAAUAGGAAGAAACAUACCUAUAUUGAUGACUUGUUUUUUUAAGUCAACAUUUUUAAACUGUUUGUUGAAAUUUGAUGCAAUAUGGCGAAUGCAAUACACAGACGAAACAUCUGGUCCAUUCCAGCCAACGCGUUCGAAUUGUAAAGCUGCUAGCAAAUCGGUUUCCCUGUCUGAUAUAAUACACAAAUUUGGUUGCAGAGUAACAUAUCUUCGCAAAUAAUGCAAGAACCACAUCCAAGCUUCUUUAGUCUCGCUCUAAAAAAUUGUAAAAGCAAGUGGAAAAUUGUUCCUACUAUCAUCUUGUCUGAUGGCAGUCAACAAAGUACAACGAUAUUUGCCAGUUAAAAAUGUCUCAUCUACUUGCACAACUGGCUUGCAAUAUUUGAAGCCUUCAAUGCAUGGAUUAAACGCCCAAAAUACACGAUUAAGAAUCACCCUAAGAGGGUCAUUGUCACCUUCCUCCAUUGAAGAUGAAGUUUUGUAUUUUAUUAUGGUACCUGGUACAAAGUGUUGAACAGCUGUCAUACAGGCAGGUAACUGUAUGAUUGUUCCCAACUUCCAAAUGUCAUUUCAAGAGCUUUUUGUUUGGUUGUCCAUGCUUUUUUGUAUGAAACAGUGUAACCAAACCGUUGAUGCAUGUAUGCAAUCAAGGUUUUGAUUUCGAUACCCGGAUUUGUUUUCACUAAAUGAACAAUAUUAUGGACAAUUACAGAAGAAUCUAACCUAACAUGAUCUUGUGAUA